CAAAAUUAAUCUAUAUUUGGUUUUGUUAAAAGGGUCAUAAAUGUAAAUUCAGAAUCCCCAAAAUGUUCAGGCUAAAUCCACUGGAAUGGGAAUUAAAUAGUACUGCCUUUUUAAUUAAUAAGAAAUAUUUGACUGCAUUAAGAUAUUACUACUCAUCAAAAUGUUCCUUUUUUAUAGUGCAAAAUAUUGUAAUAAUGAAAACAUUUUAUUAAAAAUGAUAAUUUGGUUUUGUUAAAGUGUUCAAACCUCCUAUUUAAGACAUGACUUGUUUACUUUAUACUUAAGACUUACAUUUAUAUUCAUAUUUUCAUUAGAUAAGAUGACUUUUCAGAAGGAAAAAUGUAAAAUGUUUGGUUUAAUAAUAAACGAUAAAGUGAAGCAAGUAUAUAAUUCAAUAUACAUAUCAUUUCCCUUAAUUAUGUACAAGUAUAUAUAAAUCCACAAAAAUCAGAUGUGGUUAUAAUACUUUUUUAAUGCAAUAUUUUUUUUUUCAUUACAAUUUAGCACAUUUUAAUAGACUAAAUUACUGUAAUGCAAAAGAAAACAUCACAUUAUCUUAUUUUAUUUCCAUAUUUUCAUUAAAUAAUUUCCUUUAUUUUCAGAAGGAAAAAUGAAAAAUGUUUGGGUUAGUAAUAAAACAAAAAUCAAACAAAUAUAUCAUUCAAUAUACAUAUAAUUUCCCUUAAUUAUGUACAGAUUUUAUAUCAUUUUGAUUAUUUAUUUUUAUAUUAUUGUAAGACAUUAGAAUAUUUUCAAUGCAAAAAACAGAUGUUGCUGAAAAUAUUAUUAAUACAGUUUUUUUUUGUCACAGUAAACAGAUUGUUAGGCAUAUAAUUUCCCUUAAUUGUUAACAGAUUUUUAACAAAUUUUUAUAUUAUUUUAGUAUAAUUAUAGGCCCUUUUUAUGCCAAACCACUGUAAUUCAAAAGAAAACACCCUUAUCUUCUGAAGUAAGGAUGACAGUCCUCUUUAUUUGGAUGCUAUGCAUUUCAAAAAUGUAUUUAUUUACUAAAAUUAGCAUAAAAUUACAGUUACGUGUAAUGUUAAUUCAGUUCUAAAAUAAAUUAGCAUAUGGGAAACUGUGUUUAAUUCUCAGUUCAAAUGUAAACGUCUCAAUGCAAUCAGAUCUUAGCUUUCGCUCUCAGUAAGUAAGCUCAUGAUGUGGCGGUGUGGUGGGGUCUGCUGCUGUUCGCUGAUCAACACUGUGAGCGUCCGUGUGAAUGUGUUCUGCACUCAUACAAACUCAGCGGCUGUAAAACCUGCAAGCAUCUCGUCUUCCUGCCGCUUUUUAAGCUCUCGUUAAACUUCCUGUUUGAUGUCUGAGCAGAGGCCACUUCCUGGUGCAAUAUUCAGAGCUUCCUGUGGUUCUGCCGGACACUGCGUCUCGAACAUGUCUGUUGGAGUCAAACGUUUAUGGCUGAUUUAUUUAGUGCCUUUUGUGAUUAAUAUUUUAAAGGGGACCUAUUAUCAGCAGCACUGGAAUAUCUCCAGCCUCUCAUGAUCAGACUCCAUGAAUGAAACGCUUUGGUUGACAUUCUCCCUUUGUACAUGUCAUCAGAGGGGGGAAGCCAUGCCCACUAGUCUCACUCAUUAGCAUCUCCAGCAGCCCUGAGUGAGAAGCAGCCGUCUGUCCAUUAGCCAUUAGAGUGUUUGAGCUGCUGAAGAUCAUGUCAGAGGAUUAUAGAUGUGGAGUUUUAGAUGAGCUGCGACAUAGACUGACAGCUGUCCGUAGCUCCGCCCUUUUCUGAAAAGAGCACAAUCUCAUUUGCAUUUAAAGCGACAGUCACUUAAAUGGCGGAUCAAAGCUUGGUCAGUUUCAGAGAGCUGGAGAACAUUAUCUGUGUGCUGUUCUCAGCUCAAACUCCACACACACACACACACACACACACACUCGAGAGACAUUAUUAUUCUGCUUGUGUUGUAAAAAGGAGCAUAAAUAGGUCCCCUUUAAAACUGAUUGUUGAUGUAAAACUUGAUCAUUUAGAGCUUAAAGGAAUGAAACUGUGAGUCUGGCAUUUCACAGAAGACUAAAUCGAUUAUUUGUGUGUGUAUAUAAGUUGUGAAGCAGGUCUUAAUCUUGAUUAUGUUUAUAUAUUACGUCUUAUUUUACUUUAAAGGAGCAGGUGUUUAAUUGUGUUGCGUUUAGAAAUAAAGCCACUGGACUGAAACUGUAUUUUACUGUAGUCAUGUCAGUAAGUGUGUCAAAGACAUCUGCAGCGCUCAAUAAAGUGUCAUAUUUUCA
rnacentral:lncRNA from 1 species